rnacentral:rRNA from 1 species
UACAGAGGGUGCAAGCGUUAAUCGGAAUUACUGGGCGUAAAGCGUGCGUAGACGGUUAUGUAAGUCGGGUGUGAAAGCCCCGGGCUCAACCUGGGAAUGCCAUUCGAGACUGCAUAGCUAGGGUGCGGAAGAGGGAAGCGGAAUUUCCGGUGUAGCGGUGAAAUGCGUAGAUAUCAGGAGGAACACCGGUGGCGAAGGCGGGUCUCUGGGCAGUAACUGACGCUGAGGAGCGAAAGCGUGGGGAGCGAACAGG